CAGUAGCCGCGGAAUACGGAGGGUGCAAGCGUUAAUCGGAAUUACUGGGCGUAAAGCGUGCGUAGGCGGUGAGUUAAGUCUGCUGUGAAAUCCCCGGGCUCAACCUGGGAAUGGCAGUGGAUACUGGCUCGCUAGAGUGUGUCAGAGGAUGGUGGAAUUCCCGGUGUAGCGGUGAAAUGCGUAGAGAUCGGGAGGAACAUCAGUGGCGAAGGCGGCCAUCUGGGACAACACUGACGCUGAGGCACGAAAGCGUGGGGAGCAAACAGGAUUAGAUACCCCCGUAGUCCCUGUCUCUUAUACA
rnacentral:rRNA from 1 species